GAUGAACGCUGCGGGCUGGCUUAACACAUGCAAGUCGAACGAAGCACAGAUGUAGAAGUUUCUUCGGAAAGGAAGCGCCUGUGACUGAGUGGCGACGGGUGAGGUAACGCGUGGGCAACCUGCCCCAUACCGGGGGACAACAGCUGGAAACGGCUGCUAAUACCGCAUACGUUUUCGGUGCCGCAUGGUGCUGAAAAGAAAACUACCGGUGGUAUGGGAUGGGCCCGCGUCUGAUUAGCUAGUUGGGAGGGUAACGGCCUACCAAGGCGACGAUCAGUAGCCGGCCUGAGAGGGCGACCGGCCACAUUGGGACUGAGACACGGCCCAGACUCCUGCGGGAGGCAGCAGUGGGGAAUAUUGCACAAUGGGGGAAACCCUGAUGCAGCGACGUCGCGUGAGCGAAGAAGUACCUCGGUAUGUAAAGCUCUAUCAGCAGGGAAGAAAGUGACAGUACCUGACUAAGAAGCCCCGGCUAACUACGUG
rnacentral:rRNA from 1 species